rnacentral:rRNA from 1 species
GACGAACGCUGGCGGCGUGCUUAACACAUGCAAGUCGAACGGAAAGGCCCCCCCCUUGGGGGGGGUGCUCGAGGGGCGAACGGGUGAGUCACACGUGUGUGCUCUGCCCUGUACUUCGGGAUCAUCUGGGGAAACUGGCUCUAACACCGGAGAGGACCAUGGUGUAGUGUCUCGUGGGGAAAGAAUUAUUGUUUUGGUGCAGGAUGAGCUCGGGGCCUGUCAGCUUGUUGGUGGGGUAAUGGCCUACCAAGGCGUCGUCGGGUAGCCGGCCUGAGAGGGUGGACGGCCACGAUGGGACUCAGGCACGGCGCAGACUCGUAAGGGAGGAGGCAGUGGGGAAUAGCAGACGAGGGGAGCAAGGCUGAUGCAGCGGCGCCGCGUGGGGGAUGACGGCCGUCGGGUUGGAAAGUCCUUUCGUUAGGGACGAAGCCACACCUUUUUUGGGUGUGGUGAACGUAACUUUGUGAAGAAGCACCGGCUAACUACGUG